UGGAACGACAUAAGGACAGAAUUUUCAUUUUUGGGUGAACUACCCCUUUAAUGACAAUUUAAGUUACUGAAUGCAACAAUCAGAUCACUCACAGAUACCCAAACAAGCUCCUCGUAAAAUUCUUUAUUCAUAAACUUGAUGCAAGUUUACAAAUAUACUGUACAUGGUCAAAAUUCUCUUGUAAUGGAAAAACCUAACAAAAAAACCAAGAAAGCAUGCCAACAGUGUGAGCUUCGAGAACCAUUCCAUGAGAUGGCACCAGAGACGGGUUCUGUUAUUGGUUACGGUGAGGUUCACGUUCAGUGUGAAAAACAAAAACAAACAAGUCAUUACUGUUCGGAUAAGGAAACAGAAGAAAGACUCAUCAGUUACAGAAACCUUGGUCAAUGCGGACAAGCCCAGGUCAAAAACUCAAACGCGGAUGUACUUCUUGAGAUGAAUAAACCUCUGAGGAAACACCAUCUAGAAAGGUCUGCUUUUUCAAAUCUCACCAAUGAAAACCCAAGACCAAGCACAUCUCUGAAACAAGACAGCAGCAAUAACUUGCAAAGCAGAUACUGGAGUUAUUCAAGACAUUCCUGCUGCAGUGGCUCUCUUGAAUUACAUUUACAUGUGACUGGAGUAAAAGAUUACAUUUGCGUCCAUAUUAAAGAUAUACAUAUCCAAGAGCUUGCCUGUUAUGGGACGAAGUUCAAACUCAGGACUGAUCCAAGAGGCACAAUCACAACAUUCUGUGCAAAUACUAAACCCAAAUGUCCCAAAAUAUUUACAACUGAAAUUUGAAGUCGGAAGGGUGAGAAACAACAACAAAAACAUAAGUUCCGUUUGACUGAGCACUUAAAUUCAGGAAACAAAGGAAAUCAUAUACAUUUUUAUAGCCAGAGUUAUCUAAUCCCCAUUGGCCUUUAACACUUCUUACGAUGAAACCAAGCCCCAUCAUAAAAUUCUAAAUAGCGACCACGGGAAGCUGUUAAAAUCCUUUUCUUUGCUUUCAGGAACUAGAGAAGGUUCUUAAAGUGGACAGGUAGAGCAAAUGGCCCAAAAAAGGUUUUCCAAACAGAAUGGAUUUUCCUGAGUUCUCAAUGAAAAAUGCGAGACGCCUUCACAUGCAUGAGUUUUUGGGAACUUUGGGAACAUUUGGGAACUUGAACUUGAACAUGCACGAGUCUUCGACAGCCACUUUUUGUAAUACACUGUGAAACAAAGACAAAAAAGCAGGGAGGUAUGGUGUAUUUUGACAAGCUCUCUUUCGCCAUGAACGUUGAAGCAUUGACCAUUCUUAAAAUUUUAUACUGGACGUUCAGAUCCAAGAGGUAAAAUAAACAACGCCUCGAGUUUUGUGAGAAUUGUCCAUCAGGCUUGGAAAGAAACAGUGCUCUUGUAGUGUUGUGCUAUGAGAAAAGUAUUAUUUGCGCUCUUUUAAUCCAUCAAUGCUCACAAAAUGAAACUGACAGCAAACUCUAAGUUCAAGUACUGCUGAUCAUGAGAGGUCCAUUAGUAAUGUAAACCUCAAAUGUCUCAAUCUGUAACAGCUGUUUUUUAAUGGAGCAGAAAUUAUGAAAAUGACAAUUAAGGGUGGGAACAAAAACGAAAAAAAAAAAACCGAAAAAAAAAGUUAUGUUCAUAUCACUUAUAUAAAUACAAUUUUUAAGAUAUUACCCCCGUUAUUUUGAGAAACAUCAACCUUUUUCCCCAUUUCGAGUCCACAAGUCCUCAAGUGAAAACAACUCGGAUAAUUCCCCCACUUCACAUAAACACCACAUUUAAGACGCCUCAAAUCCAUUUACAAGUAUACAAGUGGAGCUCUGUUCAACUAUGGAGCGGCGGCAAGUUCCGCUUCGCUUUUUCAAAGCCAAAGCUCGCAUUUGUCCAUUAUUGGUCAGAUCAGCCACAUGCUAAAAGUGAGCGUAAGGAAACUGAGUGGAAUUCAUCCUUAGUUGGAAAAACGAGAUUUGGGGCUAGUCGUAUAUACGCACCCCUUCCUCUCGUCCUUGCCGUUAUCAUUAACAUAAGGGUUGCUUAGGAAGCUUACGUAUAUAAUUGUGGCAAGUAACGAUUCUUUGACGACAUCAGCAUUAAAUGUACCAGUACAUGUUAAUUCAGAAUGCAUGAGGGGG